rnacentral:rRNA from 1 species
UACGUAGGAUGCAAGCGUUAUCCGGAAUGAUUGGGCGUAAAGCGUCCGCAGGUGGCUGGGUAAGUCUGCUGUUAAAGAGUGAGGCUCAACCUCAUAAAGGCAGUGGAAACUACAUGGCUAGAGUGCGUUCGGGGCAGAGGGAAUUCCUGGUGUAGCGGUGAAAUGCGUAGAGAUCAGGAAGAACACCGGUGGCGAAAGCGCUCUGCUAGGCCGAAACUGACACUGAGGGACGAAAGCUAGGGGAGCGAAUGGG